ACUUUUUWCUGUAGAAAUGCCAGCGAAKGUAUCAAUGUCAAARCCUCCGRRCCMUCUGAUGGCAGAUGAUAAAUAUCAUCUCUUACAGUGCUCAGUUUAUAAUGUUGCACCAAUAAACAGRCUUGUCAUAUCCUGGUACAAAGGAGAUAAAAUGAUCCAUGAGCAGAAGUUUGAAGGUACCGAACGACGUCCAGUCAAUAAGUCUGUUGAAGCAACAGUAGACAUUGUUGCAGAGGAUAACAGAAAGAAGGUCUGGUGUGAAGCAAAGCUAGACUUACCAGCAAAACAACGUCCUCAGCCGAUGCGAUCAGAAUUGCAUGAAUUAACAGUUUACUAUCCACCAACCAUUACUGAGCCUAAAAAUGAGACCCUGGAAAAUGUUGUUGGUACAAAAAUAUCUUUGAACUGCACGGCGACAGGAAACCCUACUCCAGAUUACGAGUGGCACUUUGCAGACGGUACGCUAAAGUGGAUCCAGGACCAAAAUGCGACUGGGCCAAUUUUAACUUUGGAUUUCAUCACUCCAGUAGUCUGGAAAUGUGUAGCCUCCAAUACUGUGGAUAAAACGACCAAGUAUUUCCACCUCAACAAACCUGAAGGGAAUUAUACCACCAUGGCAGCCCUGUUGGGAGUAUUUCUGACUCUGGGACUUGUGAUCAUCAUCGUCGGCGCCGUUUUUGUGACAAGAAGUGGAUCGUUUACUAUCCCAAAAACUAUCUAUUAACCUCCUCCCACCAGUACAAAAGAAAUCUGACUUUUGCAUAAUUGAAUGUUGGUUAGCUUUACUGUAAGAUUUUGUGCUUGGUGAAAUGUUAGUUCAUUUUAGAACUGAGUGCUUUUAUUGGUGGUGCAUGUUCAGGGCCUGUUUGUACGUGCUUGGCUUUAUAGUUUUAGAAAUGCUGAAUUUGUCUUCUGCCUUUGAGAUUUCCAAAUUAUUACCACUGUAGAAACAAUCUUCCUUUUCUGGUUCCACUAAGGGUUUAACUGUGUCUCUUAACCUUAAUAAACAAGCUUACUACGGAAAUAUAGCAAACUUUCUUCAGGAGAUGAUGGACAUUCUCUGGGAUCAGUUUUUCUUUUUGAUUGACCCAUCUGUAUUUCAAGUUGCCAUAACUAUUGUGUUAAAGUGGUACUUUGGCUUUUUGUGCCGCCUUGCUGAUCAUUUGACACAGGUCUGGUUUCUCAGAUGCAUGUUGUCAUGUUUGCUGGUAUAAAAAGGUGUUGCACGCUGCUAACACUAAGCUACAACUGAAAGCACAGUACGUUUUUUCAUCUCCCAAAAGUCAAACACCGUCUAUUGUUAAAAUGUUAGCUUUUAUGAAAAUAUUCUGUGAAGAUUGUAAAGUGGUAAAGAGUUCUAAGUUGAAGCCCCAGCAACACUUGAAAUACUGAGGAAACAAGUUUACCUAUCAUGACGGUACAAGCUGAAAUGUCUCAACCUGCCAAUAAAGUUUUCUCAACAUUUAAAGUGUURGUGGAGUUUUCACCUCACCAGAUUUUCAUCCCUUUUCGUGCACCUUGAAACUUUACCAGAAACUUUAGUGUCUAUAAUUCUCCAGCCCAAUUUUCUGAACACGUUAAAGCACCAUUUGGGACAUAUAGGCUCUUUUACUCAUUUGAAACAAACUCUCUCGGACCACCAGCUUCUCUAGACCAAACAAAUCUACUGGAUUAACCAGAUAUUUUCUUGCUGCACCCACAGCCUCCAUCAUAGCAGCAAUACAACGCUUCUUUUUUCCCACAUCAAGUCAAAUUUGUGUCUGUAAAAAAUUUGAAAAGAAGUGGGUUGGAUUGCAUACAGAGAAUCCAGAACAUUUAAAGAAUCAGGAAAAACUACAGCAAGAUCUUUAUCCAGCUCUGGGUAACUUCUUCCUUUAGCUUGUCRUAUGGACUAUCCUACAUUUUUUGCUAAUUAAUUGACUUAAAUGUCAGUUAAUGAAUGUGUGGCUUUUUGAGUUUCCGUGAGGCCGCAGUUCCCGGCAUAGGUACUUCCCCCUGCCCCUUUUUUUUGUUCAAAUGCAUUAUAACAUUCUUACUUGAAGUUUGCUUGCUUGUUGUGCUGUUAAAAGCAAUUGUUUGCACUUUUCUAAUGCCAUUUUUAAAGAAUGUGCAACAAUAUGUUAUGAUUUCAUUCUUAUCACAAGCACAGAGUUUUUUUAAACUCAAGCCCAGACUAAAAAAUGGUUUGGAAAUGGAUAAAGCAAGCUAAGAUUAACCUUUUAAUGUGACUUUCACAAAACCCCAUUUUUAAUCCUGUUGAAAAUAUGUAGCCUAUGCAGUAAAACCAGCUCUGUACCAGAUUACAACCAGAUUAAAUUAUCUUCCCCUGCUGAGAAGAGUGCAAAAAUUGUAGAAGGAACCUGAUGGGUUCAAAAUGCAUGUGGCUGAGGUGCAACUUAGCUUUUUUUUUUUAACAGCUCCAACCAAACCGACUGUCUUUUCCUUGAUUUGGACAUGAUUGUGGUUGUUAAUCCAGCAGCARGUAGUUUGUGCAGUUGAUAUCAGGCUCAUUUUGGUGCUAAACUUGCAUAACCUUUUAUCAAAAAUCUUAGAAUUUCCAGAUUUUUAAUGAAAAAAAUUGGAARUUUUUUCAUCAUCGUAUAGAGGAUACAAUGAACAUGUUGGAUGUUUGUUGUAUUAUAUUUUAGCCUUGACUUAUAACUUGUAAAAUGUAUGCACUUUCAUUUAACUGUAGUGGGUCAUAUUUAAGGGUUUCUUUUUUGGUUUUAUUUGUGACUUUUGUUUUAUGUUUGGAUGCUAUCUAACAUAUAUACAGUAUAUAUAUAUAUAUAUAUGCAUGGAGUUCACACAACUCCAUGCUGUGUGAAUCUUUUUAUUAAUUUUUGGAACGUGUACAAAUCGUGAGGUUCUGCAAUUUAAGUUAUUCAUUUUGCUUUUUGCUGUGCUACGCCUUGAUGUUUAUUUUGCACAGAGUAAACCUACAAACCAUGCAAUGKAUUUUAUAUACCACAUGUUUUAUUAUGAAACAAAAAAAAUGAAACUGAAUUUUUUUUKUGUGAAAUCUAAGUUAAUUAAAACAGUUUUGUUUUCAUCAGUGUUCUUUUACAUCGACUAAAUUAAAAGGUUGAAAUAUUUUGUCAUCACUUUUUUAUGUUGUGAAUAGCUUCAAGUAGAACAGAUUCAACAAAUGUUUCCUUCCUCCACUUUGUCAGACCCUUACCUCGCUCUAUCAGCCUUAUAUAAUUAAGCACUGAGUCAUCUGCACUUAUUAGAUCCUGACAUCAAAUGUCAGGAUAUUACAGAGGAGUUUGUGUAAUUCUGUUUUUAGCUGGUACAAUAAAGCUUUAUUAUUAUUGUCUAAAACUGA